GAUGAACGCUGGCGGCGUGCCCAAUACAUGCAAGUCGAGCGAACGGACGAGAAGCUUGCUUCUCUGACGUUAGCGGCGGACGGGUGAGUAACACGUGGAUAACCUACCUAUAAGACUGGGAUAACUUCGGGAAACCGGAGCUAAUACCGGAUAAUAUUUUGAACCGCAUGGUUCAAAAGUGAAAGACGGUCUUGCUGUCACUUAUAGAUGGAUCCGCGCUGCAUUAGCUAGUUGGUAAGGUAACGGCUUACCAAGGCAACGAUGCAUAGCCGACCUGAGAGGGUGAUCGGCCACACUGGAACUGAGACACGGUCCAGACUCCUACGGGAGGCAGCAGUAGGGAAUCUUCCGCAAUGGGCGAAAGCCUGACGGAGCAACGCCGCGUGAGUGAUGAAGGUCUUCGGAUCGUAAAACCCUGUUAUUAGGGAAGAACAUAUGUGUAAGUAACUGUGCACAUCUUGACGGUACCUAAUCAGAAAGCCACGGCUAACUACGUG
rnacentral:rRNA from 1 species